GGUGGUUCUCGGGUGAUGUACCCAAGAAUUGGACUCCCUCCUCUCUAGUUCCAGGUGCGUCACCCUAGAACCACA
rfam:Myotis lucifugus cont2.28948, whole genome shotgun sequence.